GCGUCUCUUCGGAGAGAGCGCGGACGGGUGAGUAACGCGUGGGUAACCUGCCCUGUACACACGGAUAACAUACCGAAAGGUAUACUAAUACGGGAUAACAUACGAAAGUCGCAUGGCUUUUGUAUCAAAGCUCCGGCGGUACAGGAUGGACCCGCGUCUGAUUAGCUAGUUGGUAAGGUAAUGGCUUACCAAGGCAACGAUCAGUAGCCGACCUGAGAGGGUGAUCGGCCACACUGGAACUGAGACACGGUCCAGACUCCUACGGGAGGCAGCAGUGGGGAAUAUUGCACAAUGGGCGAAAGCCUGAUGCAGCAACGCCGCGUGAGCGAUGAAGGCCUUCGGGUCGUAAAGCUCUGUCCUCAAGGAAGAUAAUGACGGUACUUGAGGAGGAAGCCCCGGCUAACUACGUGCCAGCAGCCGCGGUAAUACGUAGGGGGCUAGCGUUAUCCGGAAUUACUGGGCGUAAAGGGUGCGUAGGUGGUUUUUUAAGUCAGAAGUGAAAGGCUACGGCUCAACCGUAGUAAGCUUUUGAAACUAGAGAACUUGAGUGCAGGAGAGGAGAGUAGAAUUCCUAGUGUAGCGGUGAAAUGCGUAGAUAUUAGGAGGAAUACCAGUAGCGAAGGCGGCUCUCUGGACUGUAACUGACACUGAGGCACGAAAGCGUGGGGAGCAAACAGGAUUAGAUACCCUGGUAGUCCACGCCGUAAACGAUGAGUACUAGGUGUCGGGGGUNCCCCCCNNUGGUUUUUU
rnacentral:rRNA from 1 species